UACGUAGGGUGCAAGCGUUAAUCGGAAUUACUGGGCGUAAAGCGUGCGCAGGCGGUUUUGUAAGUCUGUUGUGAAAUCCCCGGGCUUAACCUGGGAAUGGCAAUGGAGACUGCAAGGCUAGAGUUUGGCAGAGGGGGGGUAGAAUUCCACGUGUAGCAGUGAAAUGCGUAGAGAUGUGGAGGAACACCGAUGGCGAAGGCAGCCCCCUGGGUCAAGAUUGACGCUCAUGCACGAAAGCGUGGGGAGCAAACAGG
rnacentral:rRNA from 1 species